GUUGAAACACCGACUUCCAUAUGAACAUCGAAGUUAAACAACCUCGAGCCUGGUUAGUACCUAGAUGGGGGACUGCUUGGGAAUACCAGGUGCUGUAA